rnacentral:rRNA from 1 species
AGUGAACGCUGGCGGUAGGCCUAACACAUGCAAGUCGAACGGCAGCACAGUAAGAGCUUGCUCUUACGGGUGGCGAGUGGCGGACGGGUGAGGAAUACAUCGGAAUCUACUUUUUCGUGGGGGAUAACGUAGGGAAACUUACGCUAAUACCGCAUACGACCUACGGGUGAAAGCAGGGGAUCUUCGGACCUUGCGCGAUUGAAUGAGCCGAUGUCGGAUUAGCUAGUUGGCGGGGUAAAGGCCCACCAAGGCGACGAUCCGUAGCUGGUCUGAGAGGAUGAUCAGCCACACUGGAACUGAGACACGGUCCAGACUCCUACGGGAGGCAGCAGUGGGGAGUAUUGGACAAUGGGCGCAAGCCUGAUCCAGCCAUACCGCGUGGGUGAAGAAGGCCUUCGGGUUGUAAAGCCCUUUUGUUGGGAAAGAAAAGCAGCAGGUUAAUACCCCGCUGUUCUGACGGUACCCAAAGAAUAAGCACCGGCUAACUUCGU